rnacentral:rRNA from 1 species
UUGCUCCCUUGAAGUUAGUGGCGAACGGGUGAGUAACGCGUAAUCAACCUGCCCUUCAGAGGGGGAUAACAACGGGAAACCGUUGCUAAUACCGCGUACGAUUCAUAGACGGCAUCGUUUGUGAAUGAAAGGUGGCCUCUAUUUAUAAGCUAUCGCUGAAGGAGGGGAUUGCGUCUGAUUAGCUAGUUGGAGGGGUAACGGCCCACCAAGGCAAUGAUCAGUAGCCGGUCUGAGAGGAUGAACGGCCACAUUGGGACUGAGACACGGCCCAAACUCCUACGGGAGGCAGCAGUGGGGAAUCUUCCGCAAUGGACGAAAGUCUGACGGAGCAACGCCGCGUGAGUGAUGAAGGUCUUCGGAUUGUAAAGCUCUGUUAAUCGGGACGAAAGAGUUCUGUGUAAAUAAUGCAGAAAAGUGACGGUACCGGAAUAGGAAGCCACGGCUAACUACGUGCCAGCAGCCGCGGUAAUACGUAGGUGGCAAGCGUUGUCCGGAAUUAUUGGGCGUAAAGCGCGCGCAGGCGGCCUAUCCAGUCUGUCUUAAAAGUUCGGGGCUCAACCCCGUGAUGGGAUGGAAACUAGUAGGCUAGAGUAUCGGAGAGGAAAGCGGAAUUCCUAGUGUAGCGGUGAAAUGCGUAGAUAUUAGGAAGAACAUCAGUGGCGAAGGCGGCUUUCUGGACGAAAACUGACGCUGAGGCGCGAAAGCCAGGGGAGCGAACGGGAUUAGAUACCCCGGUAGUCCUGGCCGUAAACGAUGGGUACUAAGUGUAGGAGGUAUCGAC